rnacentral:lncRNA from 1 species
UCUGGCUGAGUCAUAUUCCAUGGAGGAAGCACUCAAUUGAACAAGUGCAGGAACCAGCUGGCUGCCUCAGCACUGACAGAAGCAAAUUCCAUUUGCUUGGACCCACUGCAUUCCAUCCCUUGUGGAAGAGAGCAUGUAAGCAAGUGAGUGCAGGAACUGGCUGGCUGCUUUGGUGCUGGCAGGAGCAAACACCAUGAAGGCCCCAUGGCAGAGUCCAGGACAGGACCUUCAGGCCUCUGAAAAAAAAAGGAUCAAAGAACUGAAACUCACCAGAUCACCUCACCAGAUGCUGGACCCCUCAUUCACCAUGUUUGCUUCCUUGCCUCUCCCUAGUUCUUAUUUUCUUACACAUUGUUACAUUUCUUCCCUGCUAUAUCAACCCCUAGUUCUAGUCAGUCAUGGAGAUGGAUUUGAGACUGAUCUCCCAUCCCCUCAGCUACACCACCUGAUUAAAGCCUUCUUCCUUGGCAAUAAUCAUUGUCUCAGUCAUUGGCUUUCUGUGCAGGGAGCAGCAGGACCUAGACUAAACCCCUGGUGUUUUGGUAACAAAAUAAGGCCAGGCACAGAAAGACAAACAUCACAUGUUCACACUUAUUUGUGGGAUCUAAAUACCAGAACAAUUGAACUCAUAGAGAUAGAGAGUAGAAGGAUUAUUACCAGAGGCUGGGAAGUGUGGUUGAAGGAGUUGGUGGGCAGUGGGGAUGUAGAAUGUGUCCAAAAAAAGGAAUAGAAUGAAGAAGUCCUAGUAUUUGAUAGCACAACAGGGUGACUAUAGUCAAUAAUCAUUUAACUGUACAUUUUAAAAUAACUUAAAAGGUGUAAUUGGGUUGUUUGUAACACAAAUGAUAAAUGCUUGAAGGAAUUGCUACUCCAUUUUCCAUGAUGUGAUUAUUGUGCAUUGCAUGCCUGUAUCAAAAUGCCUCAUGUACCUCAUAAAUAUAUAUACCUACUAUGUACCCACAAAAAUUUUUUAAGAAAAUAUACCACUGC